rnacentral:lncRNA from 1 species
UCUUUUCCUGAGAGGUUAAAAACCUAAUACUGUCACACUUCAUCUAACUUUACUGCCAAAAGAGCGUGAAUACAAAUGAGCAUUGAAGUGCCAAGGGCAACAUAUGGCAAUGAGAAACCCAAACUUCCAAAUGCUUUCAUGAGGACGCCUUUUUAAAAGGAUGAUCCAAAAUCACCUCAACAUUUUUGGAAGCUCUUCGAAAGCUGUUCACAUUGUUGCUGACAUCAAGUAGUUUCGACAGAACACCGGCUGAAAGAUGAGAUUGUCCUUGUCGUGUAGGCAAUUUAACCUUGAUAAUCAACUUCUCCAGCACAAGUGCAUACCCAAGAAGAAACUUAAUCAGAGCGAGCAGAUGUCUUGACCCAAAACCAUAAGCUUCAAAGCUGAUCUCAACUGUCUUGAGAUGUUUUGCCAAACAUCGAAAGUUCACCUUCCGUGAGCACAAGAAAUCUUCUUCGUCAAAGUUAAAACGUUCUUUAGAUUCUUCAUCAACUUGAAAUUGCACAUAGAAACCCCAUUUAAGAAACUUAUUUCACACUAGAUGUGGAUCCACAAGGAAAAAAAAAAUCAAUAGCUCACUAAAAUUUCAGACAAACAACUUUCAUUUGUCUACUGCAGAUGCUAGUUAGUUUUACUUUAUAAUAAGUCUUAAUCAAAUUUAAGCUUUUAAACCCGCCUAGACAUAUAAAGCAUGUUCUCUUUCUAAGUGCUCAUUGCUAAACUCUUAGUUCAAGAUCCUAACACAACCCGGCAGCAAAAGAACCUCCAGUACAACACUGCAGUUAUCUUUAGACAUGAACUAAAACAGCUAAAUAUUGCCCUGCACAAAUGUUGAGUAGACUGACAAAGCCAUGAGGAAAAUUCAAAUGCUAGAACAAAUAAGAGUUCGAGAUUGAUCAUCUUUUAAGUGCUUCUAAAGUUUUAACUCACUGUUUAAACAUUAGUCCAAAGAGGAAGUCAUCACAAGCAGCAAACUGAAAGUAUCAUGGUAAAGGAACAAACCUUCAACAUGGGGAGUAUGACUAAUUUUUCCAGGCACUGUGAACUUCAGAAAUUGUAUGCUAUCCCAGGAAGGUCCCAUUGACUAACUGAUCCAUGCAGAAUCAGAUUUUGACAUGUUAACGAUAGAGGAUGUGCUCCUCUCAUCUCCAUAAGGGAUAGAAUCUAAGCACAUUGAGCAAGCAACACAUAAAAUCUGAUUAAUACUAGUUUUCAUGUUUAACAUGAAUAUAUAAUAACAAACCUACAGUCCAUCCAAAUAUAGUAUCCUUUGAUCCUCUCACCCAGCCAUGAAAAGACCAAUAAAGGAUACUAUGAGUAGAAACGAAUAAGUGAAUCUCUUUAUGGAAACAUAUGCUUCACAUGUAUAAUUGAUGAUGUUGACACCUAAAUUUUGGCAAUUUGUUUAAGUGUUUAUUAAUUGCAUUGGAAAAUUAGGGAUUGAUUUUUUAACCCCUUAACAAAAAAUUUUCAUUAAAAUUGCAUCACAUAUAGACAUUAGGAGCAUUUGGGUCACUAGUUUUAAAAUUUAUCAAAAAAAAUUACAAAAAAAAUGAAAAUUAAAAAGGAGAAAAGGAAAAAGGGGCAGUCGGGCCGGGUUCGGAAAAGCCUUGGGCUGGCCUCUUCCUCUCUUUCCUUUUCUCUUUCCCUCGCGCUGGGCCCGGCCCAGCCCUUUUUCCCCUUCAGCCCAGCCCGCGCACGAGCUGGUCGUCUCCCUCCUGCCGUCCUUCGCGCGCGCCUGCAAAAAAGGAAGAAGGACAGCAACAGCAGAGGGGAGCAGAGGGAACAGCCGAAUCAAGGGACGAUCGGCUGGAGUUGGUGGUCGCGGAUCAGGCCGACAAGGGCAGCUGGCACGGCAGGAGGCCGGGCGCCCGCGGAGAGAAGAAAAACAGAAGAAAAGAACAGAAAAGGAGGAGAACAGAAGAGACCGAAGAGAGAGAGCUUGGGCGAGAGAAGUGCUCGAGAGAGGGUGGAGAGCCAAAGAGAGGCUCGACCGUGCACGGGAUCUCGCUUCUCGACCCCCUUUCUUCUGGAACUGUGAGAAACCGAGAGAGCUGAGAAGGAGCCGAGAGGAACACAGAGAGAACCGAGAGGGAGAUUGAAGCGAGAGAUAUCCGAGAGAGUGAAGUCGAAGGAGCGUUUUGGCUGCCAUAGGUCGUCCGUUCGUGAGUUGCUGUCCGCCGCAGCUCUUCUCAUUGAACCAGGUAGGUCUUGUCUGCUCAUGUAUGCUCCAUUUUUGUAAGGCGUCGGAUCGGAACUCGCAGCUGACCAGUUCAAGCGAGCUUCGGUCCCAUUGAGCCUCCAUUGAUGUUUCUGUGCGUGCUAGUAUGCUCAUGUAGAAGCCUAAGCUUGAUUUGAGUUUCGAUCGAGGGAAAAUCUUCUCGUUUCAUUAGUGCAGACCAUGCGUUCGACAAAAUGCCUUAAAAAAACCGAGAGUAGCCUGCGUUUUAACGCCGAACCCACUCAUUUUUGCCCCCGUGCUUGCUGAAUCCUCGUUGCCUUGCCUGUAUUCGUUGUGUUUUCGAGCGGUUUGCGCGAGACAUUUGCAUGUAUUUGAAUCGACGAAACUUCUCGUUGCGUCGGAAAUGGGUUAGUGGUCGCCGGAAUAGGUAGCCGGCGAUGGCCAGCGCCGGUCGAGGGGGAUGACCGGUGGGCGGCAGUGGUCCCGUGGCCGACGCCGGUUGCUCCGGCCGGCGUUGAUGUAUGGUGCAGAAGGAGGCUUCGGGCGGAGAAAAAAUUCGUGGGGAAGAAGACCAUGGGAAAAAGACAAAUAAAAAAAGCAAAAGAAAAGAAAAGUAAAGAAUAAGAAAAAAAGCAAAACAAAAAAAAAAUAGAAAACUUUAAAAUGGCAAAAAGUGGCUUCGGAAGGACCGUUGAGCAGAAGAUGGAGCAGCAGAAAAGACAAAAUAGGGAUAAGACUAAAAGAAAAAAUAAGGGAAAAAUAUAUUUAAAAAAAAACUAAAAAAAGAAAAGAUAAUUUUUUUUUUUAUCCGAUGUAGGUCGGACCUAGGCUCAGAUCGGAUCAGAGGACUGGAUUGGGUUUACCUGGUCCAAUCCCGUUUUCCCGAAUAUAAUAAUAUUAAAUAUUAAAAUAUAUCAAAAAUUCAAAAAAUUUCAAAAAAAAUAUCAAAGUAAUAGAUUGUAUCAAAUUAAGGCAAAAAUAACAUCUAUGAAAUUUUAUUAAUUUUAUAAGGUCAUUUUUCCUAAUUUAAUGCUAUCUUGAUAUUCUAUAAUCAUUUUUGUAAAUAAUUUAUUUUGCGUAGAUUAAAAUUAUUUAAAGUAAUUUCAUGCAUAUAGAGUAAUUUCAUGCAUAUUUAAAUUCUCAUUUCGCUCUCAAAAAAAAAAAAAUUCUCAUUUCGCUCAUGGGGUCCUAUCACAGGGCGUGAUAACGAGGCCAUGUAAUUUUAUUUGCCUGACUUGCAUCGGGUUUUCUUUUUAUGUAUUUAUUUUCAAGUCAUUUCAAUUUCUUAGAUGUUUACUUGUGCACCGCUUUUCAUUAAUUUGAGUGGAAAUUUCUCUUUUAAAUUAUGUUAGGCUUAGUUUAGACAUUAAGGACCUACAAAAAUAUUUGCAUGGACACUUAACGAUUUUAUAAGAAUUAUAAUUAGUAAUAAAUAUUGUGUGGCCAUUUAGAUUAACAACUUUACAAGUUAGUAGUAUCACAAGAGUGCUAAUAGAAACAUUGGUGUAAACAAGUUCUAGUUCCUAUAAAUCUCUGGUUGCGUAGGAAUCGAGACAACACUCUCGCGUCUUGAUUGGUUUCUACUCAAUCCCAAUAGGUCAGUGGCGACUCCUAAAAUUACAUGGGUUGUCAAGAACUAAAAUAUAAAAUCCAACGUCUCGCGGUAUGGGCUUGGGAGAGCCCGUCCCUAAUUUAGGACAUUAGUCCGCCUUUUUGGGCAAAUACUCCUAAACAUGCUUCCUUUUUCUCUGAAUGGAAAAAGAGAGGUCGUGACAGGUGAUAGAAUCUUCGCCUGAAGCUGGAUACCAGUUUGCAGGUCAUGUAUAUACCGCCACAAUUCUUGUUUUGCUUGAGUAGGUUGGUGGGCUUGCAACUGAGUCAAUACUGUUACUCAUCAUUGGGUGUGACUAACAUAAUUGGCCUCUCAUCUUAGGGUGGGUCUUGUCGAUGUCAAAUGUGAACUUGAGCGAUGAUACCCUGGUGAGUAUUUUGAGGGAAAUCCUGUUUUAGAUUCUCGAGUUGGGUCGAUGCAUAAGCUUGAAAUUGGUGCGAAGUAGCAAGUGUUUAACAGUUGUUGAAUUGUUGUUCAAAGUCUAUGCACCAACCCAACUCAAGGACUUUAAAAGAGGACUUCCCCUCAAAAUACUUGUUAGGAUAUCGUUGCUCACGUUCACAUUUGAUAUUGCCAAGACCUUAAGACAAGGCCAAUUAAUGAUAAUCGCACCCAACGAUGAAAAACAACACCGACUCACUUGCAGGCGCACCAAGCUACUCAAGCCAAACAAAAACUGCAGCAGUAGUAUAUACAUGUCCUGCAAACUGGUAUUUAGCCCCAGGCGAAGAUCCUUCACCCGAUGCCCCUAUGUGAAGUGGAGCCACUCCUCGAGCUGGGGUCCAUCGGGCACCUUGUAAGGAAACUCAUUCAUGUGGAAUUUCUCCACGGUCACGGUCAUGGGUGUGACUAGCAUAAUUGGCCUCUCAUCUUAGAGUAGGUCUUGUCGAUGUCAAAUGUGAACUUGAGUGAUGAUAUCUUGGCGAGUAUUUUGAGGGAAGUUCUGUUUUAGAUUCUCUUGGGUUGGUGUAUAGACUUGAAAUUGGUGUGGAGUAGCAAGUGUUUAACAGUUGUUGAAUAGACAGCCAAAGCAGCACUCUCUCCCAUGUUCAAGUCUAUGCACCGACCCAACACAAAAAUUCUAAAACAGGACUUCCCCUCAAAAUACUCGUUGGAUAUCGUCGCUCAAUUCACAUUUGACAUCGCCAAGACCUUAAGACGAGGCCAAUUAAUGAUAAUCACACUCAACGAUGAAAAACAACACCAACUCACUUGCUCACUUGCAGGCGCACCAAGGUACUCAAGACAAACAAGAAUUGCAGAAGUAUAUACAUGGCCUGCAAACUGGUAUUCAGCCCUAGGCCUCCUUCACCCGAUGCACCUAUGUGAAGUGGAGCCACUCCUUAAACCAGGGUCCAUCCAAGCUACUCAAGCCCCAGGCGGAGAUCCUUCACCCGAUGUGCUUAUGUGAAGCGGAGCCAAAUAAGAACCGCAGUAGUAUAUACAUGGCCUAUAAACGUAUUCAGCCCCAGGCGGAGAUCCUUCACCCGAUGCCCCUAUGUGAAGCGAAGCCACUCCUUUAGCCGGGGUCCAUCGAGCACCUUGUAAGGAAACUCAUUCAUGUGGAAUUUCUCCACGGUCAAGGUACACCGGCUCAGGACACUGUCGACGAUGGAGCAUGAGUCGGCAUCGCGAGGCCGGAAUCCAUCGAAUACGAUGUUGGCAGGUGGUGGUCCAAGUCGAUUGCCACUGCCGGGAGAGGAUGCUUGUCUUGAUGAGUUCUUUGAUGGACAGAAGUGAGAUAAUCGCCAUGAUCACGUGAUCUGGCAAGUUGCUUGGACGUGGAGGAGGAGGAAGUCGGUGGCCGGAGGGUGGUCGGUCGAUCCUCCGGCACUUGGAGGGUUUCGCCAUGGGAAUUGAAAUUGUAGGGCUUUUUCUCUCGGUGAGCGGUGCGGCCCUUUUACUUUAUCUCGUUUUAUUUUAAAAAAUUAUAUUUUUUCUUUUCUUUUUUAAUCUUUGUCAUAACUUUGCUCCAUGACCAACCUGUAUGGUCAAUACUCAACAAAAUUAUGUAAUUUUAUUUUAAAUUAUUAUCAGCCGAGGACUUGUGAGCUGAGCAAGACAAAGGCAAGGAACAAUGAAUGUCACUUGGCCCUUUUUAGUUAUGUAGUUUUAUUUUAAAUUAUUAUCUUUUUCCUUCUUUUUUUUCUUUAAAAAAAAAUCAUCAUAACAGCGUUUUAUGACCCAUCUAAGUGUAGAUGAUCCCAAUUGUUAAAAUAAAUUGGGGGGAUCAAAAUUAAACUUAAGUAAUUGACAAAAUUUAUGCUAUGCAAUAAGUAACCCACUCAACAUUUCUCUCUCUCAAAGUAAAAUAUAGAUGCAAGUUCAACAACAUAGUAAGAUAAAAAUAUCCCUAAUUUCAUAUGUUCCCAAUUCUCUUUCCACCAUUGACUCUAUCACGCAUAUCUCCGCACUUGCCACGGAGCCCUCUCAACCUCCGACCAUACUUUGUAGUCGCAUCACUCCAAACUGAGGCCGGCAGUUUUUGACAUGAUGCAUUUACAUUGGCAUCAAAGUAAGCGUGCUUGGUUGAAAUUUAAUCAAUAUUGUGUCACGAAGGGGAAGGGGAACAUGUUUUUUAGCCUUUCAAUGCUUUUAUCACAAUCGUAGACUGGUUUAAUUAAACAACUUAAUAUUUAUGCGGGUGGAUAUCACAUGCUUAGAUACAUUUUAGACAUGUAAAUAAAACGUUUAGUCAUGUUUUUGUGCAUGUAAAAGGAAUUAAUAUCUUAAACUUGUUAAGCCUCAUCUAAUUUGGACUUCAAUGAUAUGUCACUAAAGAUAAACAAUCUCAUAUUGAGGUCAAACUAAAUUCGAUAUGACAAGGAAGAACUGAAAAGACAGGAAAGGAGAAAAAGCAAAUGAUAAAUUUCAUACUUCUCCACUCUCCUAGCUCGCGCAUCAAACACCUUUACUUAGAGUACCUUUUCUCUACGACAACUGAAAAGUGGCAAUAAAAUUGCUCCAUUAAAGGAACCAAAUGACCAAUUCGGCUAUGCAAAUUCUGUGGUACGGAGGCAAAACUUUCUUCCUGAUUCUCGAAUCCCAUUUACUCUCCACUAAAGGCUCUGAGAAAGAAACCAGUGUUGCAGUUCAGAGGCUUAUCUGCCAAAGAGAGCAAGUUGACAAUUCCUUAACAAAGACCAUUUUUAUUGGUUAUGUUGUCACAAGGAAACAUCUGUUAAGCCAGAAAGCGUAUUACUUGCUGCGAUUAUGUCUUUGUGCAAUUACAUAACGAAAGCUUUCACACUGUUGGCUGCGGAAUCAAAAGCGAAGCUCCAGAUUGAGAGAUAGUUCUCAUCACCUGCAAAAGACGAUAAUACAAAAGCGAAGCUCCAGACUGAGGCGGGUAUAUUAUUGUAACUCACUAGAGAUCAAGAACUCUGGUUAGAAUUCAUCAAACCAAGAUUUGCUCUCUCCCAUUCUAAAUGAUCUCGUGCAUGCUGUCUUUCUUUUAAGUGCUUUCUACUUCACUAAUUUCCAUGUUCCAGACGGCGUCAUGAGUUCUUUUUCUCUCCAAUGGACCUGCAUUUUCAAAUUCAUUUUUCAUUUUUAGUUUCACAAGCUUUCGAUUCUUCCUUCGGGUGGAUGAUUAGGGGAAAAAAGAAAGCAAAAGCCUAGACAAAGGGGCAAAAUUCUCACUGUUCAUGGGUUUCAAUUUCUUUUCUCUUUAAGUGAAUUGAAAGUAGUAGUCUUUCUCAUUUUUGUGCAUUCCUUGUUUAGUUGUUGGCAGCAUCUGUUGGACACUGAAUUCCAAUUUGUAGUUAUAUUUAAUUAAGAUUAACAUCCUUCCUUGAGAGGUUCAUAUUUACAGCUAAAGGGAAAACUUGAAACAAGUGCAGAAUAAAUUCACGUUAAAAAUCUUACACUGUCAUACUUCAUAUAAUUUUGCCGUUAAAAGAGCGUGAACAAGAAUGAGCAGCGUAGUGCCCCGGACAACAUACCCUCGCCAUGAGAUCAACAAGAAACCUGGAUUUUCUUAUGCUUUUAUGACGACACCUAUUCGAAAAAAAUGAUCGAAGAUAACCUCAGCAUUUAUGGAAGCUCUUCGACAGCUGAGCACAUUUCGGCUCAUAGCAUGUAGUUUUGACAGACCAGCGGGUUGAAGACUUUUUGUCCAUAUCGUAGGAACAAAUCAACCUUGUUAAUCAACUUCUUCGGCACAAGUGCAUCCCCAAGAAGAAAAUUAAUCAGGGCAAGCAGAUGUUUUGACUCCAAAUCAUCUUCAAAGCCGGUGAUCUCAACUCUCUUGAGAUGUUUCUCCAAACAUUCAAAGUUUCCCUUCCGCGAGAACAAAAAAUUUUCUUCAUCGAAGUUAAAACAUUAUUCAGAUUCUUCAUCAAACUCAAACUGCACGUGGAUACCCCAUUUAAGAAACUAAUUUCAAAUUAGACAUGGAUCGUAGGAAAUAAGAAAAUCAUUGGCUCACUAAAAUUUCAAACAAACAACUUCCAUUUGUCCAUUGCGAAUGCUAGUUAGUUUUAACGAGUCUCCAUCAAUUUAAGCUCUUAAACUCGUCUACACAUCUUCUCUAAACAUGUUCUCUUUCUAAGUGCUCAUCGCUAAACUCUUAGCUCAACAUCUUAACUCUACAUGGCAGCAAAAGAACCUCCAGUACAACACUGCACUUACUUUAAGACAGGAACUCAAACAGCUUAAUAUUGUCCUGCACAAAUGUUGAGUAGACUGACAGCCAUGAGCAAAUUUCGAUUGCUGGACCAAAUAAGAGUUCGAGAAUGAUCAUCUUUAUGAGCUUCCAAAGUUUUAACGAACUGUUCAACAGUCAUGCAUAGAAUAAGUCAGCAAAAGAAGCGAACUGAAAAUAUCAUAGCAGAGGCACAAACCUUCAAUGGGGGGAGGGAGGUGAGGUAUAUGACUAAUCUUUCCAGGCAUUGCGAAAGCAUGUAUGUUAUCCUAGGAAGGUCCCAUUGACUAAC